AGCUUAUGCAUUUGCACCAUUUAUAUAUAUGAGUACUAAUGUUAUUUUAUAACUGAUCGAUUAGUGUCCAAGACAAGAAGGAGGGUUCAAAUGUGACUACUUUGUUAUGAGAUUCAUUAAAGAGAUAAUUUUUUAUCCUACAAUGAUUGCUUCAAAGUUUGGUGAUAAAAAAAACAUAUUAUCAAGUAGAAUUCAAUGAAAUUAGAGGAGAAUUGACUACUUUUGUGCUACAACUAAUCAUGAAUCAUGUUGAUGCAUCAUGAUCACCAUGCAUGGUAUACACUCUUAGGAGGGUGGAAUAGAGAAUAAAAAGAACAAAGAAGGCAACAAGAUUUUGGGUUUUUAAAUGCAGCUCGUAUGUCAUACAUUGUAGGACAUAAACGUUACUUUAAUUGGUAGUGAGAAUUUUAGAUUUUUAGAUGCUACUUUUAUGUCAUUUUAUAGUUAGUCGGUUUUAUGCUUAUGAAAUGAAGGUAUACAUGAAUCUUGGGAUGCUUAACAUUACUAGAUCAUGUUUUGGUAUGUAUUCACUCUUCUUUUUUAGUUUUGGUGGGUUUGAUAUAUUGGAUGUACUAUCUUUUUGUGAACAUUUGAUAUACAAAUAUUAUUAGAUGAUCAA